rnacentral:tRNA from 1 species
GGGGAUGUAGUUUAGUAAAAAAUAUGACUUUUACACAGUUAAGAUGGGCUCUAGGAGCUCUGUCCCGU